UACAGAGGUCUCAAGCGUUGUUCGGAUUCAUUGGGCGUAAAGGGUGCGUAGGUGGCGCCGUAAGUCAGGUGUGAAAUCUCGGGGCUUAACCCCGAAACUGCAUUUGAUACUGCGGUGCUCGAGUACUGGAGAGGAGAUUGGAAUUUACGGUGUAGCAGUGAAAUGCGUAGAUAUCGUAAGGAAGACCAGUGGCGAAGGCGAAUCUCUGGACAGUUACUGACACUGAGGCACGAAGGCCAGGGGAGCAAACGGG
rnacentral:rRNA from 1 species